GAUGGUUCGAUUAGUCUUUCGCCCCUAUACCCAGUUCAUACGAUCGAUUUGCACGUCAGAAUCGCUACGGACCUCCAUCAGGGUUUCCCCUGACUUCAUCCUGACCAGGCAUAGUUCACCAUCUUUCGGGUCCCAGCGUGUACGCUCUUGGUGCGCCACAACUUGCAAUAAGUAUGCAACGCCCCGGGAAUGCGAGGUAACAUAAAUAACGUAACCCAUCUUCCCUUUAUAAAAAUG
rnacentral:rRNA from 1 species